GAUGAACGCUGGCGGCGUGCCUAAUACAUGCGAGUCGAGCGAACAGACGAGGAGCUUGCUCCUCUGACGUUAGCGGCGGACGGGUGAGUAACACGUGGAUAACCUACCUAUAAGACUGGGAUAACUUCGGGAAACCGGAGCUAAUACCGGAUAAUAUAUUGAACCGCAUGGUUCAAUAGUGAAAGACGGUUUUGCUGUCACUUAUAGAUGGAUCCGCGCCGCAUUAGCUAGUUGGUAAGGUAACGGCUUACCAAGGCGACGAUGCGUAGCCGACCUGAGAGGGUGGUCGGCCACACUGGAACUGGGACACGGUCCAGACUCCUACGGGAGGCAGCAGUAGGGAAUCUUCCGCAAUGGGCGAAAGCCUGACGGAGCAACGCCGCGUGAGUUAUGAAGGUCUUCGGAUCGUAAAACUCUGUUAUUAGGGAAGAACAAAUGUGUAAGUAACUAUGCACGUCUUGACGGUACCUAAUCAGAAAGCCACGGCUAACUACGUG
rnacentral:rRNA from 1 species